AUUGAACGCUGGCGGCAGGCCUAACACAUGCAAGUCGAGCGAGCGGCGGACGGGUGAGUAAUGUCUGGGAAACUGCCUGAUGGAGGGGGAUAACUACUGGAAACGGUAGCUAAUACCGCAUACCAUCAGAUGUGCCCAGAUGGGAUUAGCUAGUAGGUGGGGUAACGGCUCACCUAGGCGACGAUCCCUAGCUGGUCUGAGAGGAUGACCAGCCAAACUGGAACUGAGACACGGUCCAGACGCCUACGGGAGGCAGCAGUGGGGAAUAGUGCACAAUGGGCGCAAGCCGGAUACAGCCAUGCCGCGUGUGUGAAGAAGGCCUUCGGGUUGUAAAGCACUGUCAGCGGGGAGGCGUUACCCGCAGAAGAAGCAACGGCUAACUCCGUGCCAGCAGCCGCGGUAAUUC
rnacentral:rRNA from 1 species